AGGGCUCUUAAACACAUUUCGGCAUGUUCAAUUAUGGUUCGCGUUGUGGUUAUCAUGGCGCAGACUUAUUCCACGCAUGUAGAAGUAAGCUCAAGAUGCCCAGAGCUGGGAUACUCCCAUUUAACGCCCUUUUCGCUAACAACAACUGAAUUCCUACAGUUUGUAGUUUGAUAGUAGGUGGGCGGAAAUAU
rnacentral:snoRNA from 1 species